AGAGCCAUAUGGGACUCAACAUCUUUGGAUAUAUUUGUAAGGCUUUCACAAAGAAGACUUUUUAGACAUCUCAGAUUUCACCGAUUGGAGGGCAAUCUGGAUGAAUAUCUUUUUUUGGAAAAGAUGAACUAUCGUUUUCACAUGUAGUCUCCAAUUUCAGUAUUCCUUGAGAAGCUCAAAACAACAACAACAACAACAACAAAACAAAACAGGAAAGCGUUAAGUAAGUCUCAGCUUAUUAGCUUUUACUGGAAAAUAAAGACCAUGAUUCUUAGAUCUGGUUCAGAAUGCCAAGUGAAUCUUUGAUGUUGAAAUUUGGCCACCUAAUCUUUGCAGUUUGUGAUGGGGCAUUUAUGAAAGAGAAGGUGGGUUCUAAGUCUCAACAUAUUUGUGCACUUUUUGCUAGUUCGGUCUUGGUCAUAUGUCAGUGGAUUCUUGGGACGCUUUCUGCAGCAUAGCUAACUGAUUAACAUGAUGAUACUUUUUAUAUUUACUCAAGAUUAUUUCUUUGUUCACUCCUGAUUUUCCAUAAUUUUCUGAUCAUUAGGGAUCUAUCUUAAUGCAAAGUAUUCUUGAAGAUGUUAAUAUAAAUUAAUCUUUUAAAAAAACAAAUCUCAUAUUUUUCCACUGAUCUGUUAAUUUAGAUAUUAAAAAAACAGAUUGACCUUCAUUUGGCAAUUGUUGUUAAUACUUUAAUUUUUGGUUCACAGAUUUUGUUUAGUGGGCUAUAAAUGGCCUAUAAACAAAUAUUUCAGUGUUUACUAAUUAAAAAUCAGUAUUUUUUUUAAGCAUAGAGUGCUAUUGUGUUAUGAGACAGGCAACCACUAAUUCUGUUAGGUUUUCAACUUUUUAUUUUCUUAGUUCUCUAGUCUUUUUUUUUUUUUUUUUGGCACUCUUCAUGCAGUAUGUCAAAUGUUCUAAAAUAACUUUCUAUAAAAAGUAUAAUACUCUUAGGUUUAAGUUUUAUUAUUCACCUUUGUUUACAAACAUAGGUAUUGUAAUCCAAUGAGGUUUUUCUUUGUCUCUAUCAUUUUAUCACUGAAACCAUCUGUGUAGAAAAUAGUAUGCUUGGUUUUAUCAUUUUAAAUUGUUUUCUAUUUUUGUUAUUUUGUCCUCCCAACUUGUUUUCACCUUAAGUAUUCAGGCUCAAGUAUAAGGCAUUUUAGUUUUCACAUUCAAGAGGUGUUUCUGCUUUCUUUCCCGUCCGUUUGUCCAUAUGUUUACUGGUUUCUGAUAGGCUGUGCAGUGAGACAGCAGUUUACUAUCUGUGUGUGUGUGAAAUUAGCUAAUUGGUGUUAGCAGAAAUAUUUUCACAUGUUUUAUAAGCAAAGUGCAGCAAGGUAUAUAAAUGUAGAUAUGAUCCAGACACGCGCACACUCACGACUGUCACUGCUCAUGCAUAGGCGCUCAGAAGUAAUUAAUGUUAAUAAGAUUUUAAUGUGCUUGUGAGAUCAUAAUGAGGAGAAAUGAAUGCUCUGAUUAGGAAAAGGUAACUGUGUGUGUGUUUUGGCUUAGAACAAGAUUUCAAUUUUUAUAAACCGCAAUUUUAGAACUUGUUUGUGAUUGCAUCAAUUGGUUUUUAUUUUCAAAUUAGAGGUCUGUUUAGCCAUUUGAAUGAUUAACCAAAUAAAUGGGUGAAACCCUGAUCAUAAGGAAUAGUGCAGGUUUUUCAUUUGCAAGGCAGUGUUAGUAUACAGCAAGGCUGUGAUGUCUUUUGCCAAUGUGCCAUUUUAAUGUUGUUUUUUUAAAAGAAGCUUUUCCAGAAGCCACUUGUGAAUAUAGUAUUUAUUUUUAUAAAUGUAGAUGCUAUCUAUACGUUCCAGAGACACCAAUCAGACACUGUAACUAUUGUGUCUGAGAUACAUUCCUGCCAGUCAGUGAUGGUGUAUUCCGUGUCUAAAGAAUCUAUAUCAUGCUUCUCAAAAUGUUUAUUUGGAAAUGUAGCACUACCAAUAUUUUUAUUCAUAAAUAUAAUCUUUACAAAUUUUAGAAGCUUGAUAUAUUUUAUGGUGAAGUCAAACAUUUCAAGCUAUGCGCACAUAUUUCCAUUACUUCUGUUUUAAUUAUGAUUAUUGCAUGUAAUACUCAUUAGCCCUGGAGAUGUACAAGGAUUCAAAUUUCUCUACAUCCUCAUCAACACUUGUCUUUUGUUUUAUUAAUAACAGCCCUGACAGGUGUGAGGCAAUUCCUCAUUGUGGUUGUAAUUUGAAUUACUCUGAUGAUGAUAAGUGAUGUUAAAUAUUUUUAAAUAUAUCUCUUGGCCAUUUGUAUGUCUACUUUAAAUAAAUCUUUAUUCAAGUGUCUCUUAGUCUGGGCUGCUCUAAGGAAAUACAGGGUAAUUUAUGAACAACAGAAAUUUAUUACUCGUAGUUCUGGAGGCUGGAAAGUCCAAGGUCAAGGCACUGGCAGUUUUUGUAUCUGGAGUUCUUCAUGUAUUUUGGAUAUUAACCCCUUAUCAGAUAUAUCAGGGAAUUCACCCCUGCUCGCCACGCCCCAGGCUGCAGACCAGUAAUGGUCCCUGGCCUGUUAGGAACUGGACUGCCCAGCAGGAGAAGCAGAAAACCAACAUAUUUCUAUUUUACUUUUCAAUGAGUUGGGACUUACUGUCUAAUUCUAGUAGCACAGUGUAGUUAGUUACCUUUUUUGUACUAACUAAAUGGCAGUACAAGUUUUAGUUUACUUACCUGCUUCCUUACUAAACUGGCUUCUUUGAGAACAGGUACUGUGUUGAGCUCAUCUUUGUCACCACUACCAACCCACUAUCAAGUUUGGAGUCUGGAACCUAUCAGGCAGUUAAUGAAUACCUUUUACAUUUAUUUAAUUACUGUUAAUUGUAGUUCUGUGCCACACUGUGAAAGACUGAAUGCUAUGCUUAGAGAUACAUUUUAUUCUGUAAACAAUCUAAGGUUUUUGAGGAGGUGAGGGAAAUUCUUUGAGCCUUUCUUUUUAAUAGAAGGUAAUUCUUGAAGCAUAAAUAUGGAUGAAAGAGGUAAGAGGCUGAAAAUAAUUAGAUUAUUUAGGAUUCUAGGCUAUAAUAGUGGAAAUAAAGAAUUGACAGGAUCUAGUGAUUGAUUGGAUGGGCAUUGCUGAAAGGAAAGGUGAGAAAAAUGACUUAGAUUUUCACUAAUUAUGGACCAAUUGUUUUAGAAUGAAAUAGUAGGGAUUUUUUUGGUCUUCAGAACUUAUGUGGAAGAUUUUAGCAUAAAAUUUUGGGAGCAAAGUUUCAUAAUGCAAAGUAGUAAUUAAUGGUAGGG
rnacentral:lncRNA from 1 species